UACGAAGGGGGCUAGCGUUGCUCGGAAUCACUGGGCGUAAAGGGUGCGUAGGCGGGUCUUUAAGUCAGGGGUGAAAUCCUGGAGCUCAACUCCAGAACUGCCUUUGAUACUGAAGAUCUUGAGUUCGGGAGAGGUGAGUGGAACUGCGAGUGUAGAGGUGAAAUUCGUAGAUAUUCGCAAGAACACCAGUGGCGAAGGCGGACUCACUGGCCCGAGUACUGACGCUG
rnacentral:rRNA from 1 species